rnacentral:rRNA from 1 species
CCGGCGCACGGGUGAGUAACACGUAUCCAACCUGCCGUCUACUCUUGGACAGCCUUCUGAAAAGGAAGAUUAAUACAAGAUGGCAUCAUGAGUCCGCAUGUUCACAUGAUUAAAGGUAUUCCGGUAGACGAUGGGGAUGCGUUCCAUUAGAUAGUAGGCGGGGUAACGGCCCACCUAGUCUUCGAUGGAUAGGGGUUCUGAGAGGAAGGUCCCCCACAUUGGAACUGAGACACGGUCCAAACUCCUACGGAAGGCAGCAG